rnacentral:rRNA from 1 species
UACGUAGGGGGCAAGCGUUGUCCGGAUUUAUUGGGCGUAAAGCGCUCGCAGGUGGUCCGUUGCGUCGUGCGUGAAAGCCCUCGGCUCAACCGGGGAGGGGCGUGCGAUACGGGCGGACUGGAGGCCAGUAGGGGGAUGCGGAAUUCCGGGUGUAGCGGUGAAAUGCGCAGAUAUCAGGAGGAACACCAAUUGCGAAGGCAGCUCGCUGGGACGUUACUGACGCUGAUGCGCGAAAGCGUGGGGAGCAAACAGG